rnacentral:rRNA from 1 species
AUUGAACGCUGGCGGCAGGCCUAACACAUGCAAGUCGAGCGAGCGGCGGACACGUGAGUGAUGUCUGGGAAACUGCCUGAUGGGGGGGGGUAACUACUGGAGACGGUAUCUAAUACCGCAUACCAUCAGAUGUGCCCAGAUGGGAUUGGCUCGUAGGUGUGGUAACGGCUCACCUAGGCGACGAUCCCUAGCUGGUCUGUGAGGAUGACCAGCCACACUGGAACUGAGACACGGUCCAGACUCCUACGGGAGGCAGCAGUGGGGAAUAUUGCACAAUGGGCGCAAGCCUGAUGCAGCCAUGCCGCGUGUGUGAAGAAGGCCUUCGGGUUGUAAAGCACUUUCAGCGGGGAGGCGUUACCCGCAGAAGAAGCACCGGCUAACUCCGUGCCAGCAGCCGCGGUAAUUC